rnacentral:tRNA from 2 species
GCCCCUGUAGCUCAGUGGAUAGAGUACCGGCCUCCGAAGCCGGGUGCGCAAGUUCGAUUCUUGCCAGGGGCG